GCUUACGGCCAUACCACCAUGGGCACGCCCGAUCUCGUCCGAUCUCGGAAGCUAAGCAGGGUCGGGCCUGGUUAGUA
rnacentral:rRNA from 10 species